rnacentral:rRNA from 1 species
AUUGAACGCUGGCGGCAUGCCUUACACAUGCAAGUCGAACGGUAACGGGCCUUCGGGUGCCGACGAGUGGCGCACGGGUGAGUAAUACAUCGGAACGUGCCCGAUCGUGGGGGAUAACGAGGCGAAAGCUUUGCUAAUACCGCAUGCGAUCUACGGAUGAAAGCAGGGGACCGCAAGGCCUUGCGCGGACGGAGCGGCCGAUGGCAGAUUAGGUAGUUGGUGGGAUAAAAGCUUACCAAGCCGACGAUCUGUAGCUGGUCUGAGAGGAUGAUCAGCCACACUGGGACUGAGACACGGCCCAGACUCCUACGGGAGGCAGCAGUGGGGAAUUUUGGACAAAGGGCGCAAGCCUGAUCCAGCCAUGCCGCGUGCAGGAUGAAGGCCUUCGGGUUGUAAACUGCUUUUGUACGGAACGAAAAGCCUUCUUUUAAUACAGGAGGGUCAUGACGGUACCGUAAGAAUAAGCACCGGCUAACUACGUG